ACGACCUUACUUGAACAGGAUCUGUUCUGUAGGCUCGUACCGCUGCAUCCUUUACCAAUAAGGAGGCAAGCACUUCAGUCUGGUUGAUGCAUUCUGACCUCUGGGCCAGAGCGUGAUUAACGGCCAGGAUUCCCCCUGAUUGGGGCAAUCCACGGCUGUAGAGGAUCGUUCCUGCCUUGCUCAUGCCUGUGCAGGGUGGCCCAGAGGUUGUCUGACAGACU
rfam:Triticum aestivum genome assembly, contig: Triticum_aestivum_CS42_TGACv1_scaffold_405468_5BL